CAUUCUUCCACUUCGCUAUUCGAACAUUUUCCUUAUAACUUUACUUUCCGUUCCAUUGUUUCCCUAAGCGUUUGUCCGCCAAAUACACGGACACAACCUUUUGUUGCGGAACAUGAAAAACUGCCUACAUAUCAUCUUAUCCCAGUUUCAGUGGUUGUGAAUGAGAUUCUUCGCAAUAUUUUUUUCAUUCUCCACUGGAACUCGAUAUGGCACGCGCGGCGCAUCGCAAAUAGAACAAGUAGCUCUAAAAGGCAAAUUUCAAUUUACGUAACUCAGACGCGGCUGAGAAAUCAUCGAAGACACUUGCUGCGGGCGGAGUUAAUUGCGAACGCAACAACGGUGCCCGAUGAACGUAAGAAGGCGAAAGAAUUUAAUAGUGAGUAAGAAUCGAGACUUGAAGGAAGAAAACUUUCUGUAUAUCGUAGUCAUCGAUAGAAUAAUUUCAUCAAGAACUUCAUAAAAUCGCUUUCCUCACCGGAACUUCUUUGCGGCCUACGAUUUUGCACUGAGGACUACCGACCACACCAUACUGGUAGUUGCACGAGCAAUCUUUCUGGAGUUCUACAUUAACGAGUCCAUCGACGACUCUCCUCGCUGCUAUUUGGACGAAUUGUUUCUUCUGGUUCGGUUUGGCAUCCAAGAAGUUGUUAGAACUGAACGCUGCACCACCAGACUGCAAUAUGAUAUCAGGUAAAUGUUCGAUUCACUCAGCUUCCUACGUGUUUCUGUCUUUCGAAACGCUCACGAGCUUCGUAAUAAUGGAUGAGGAUCACUUGUUGAACACUUACGGAUACCGCGAAGUCAGCGCAGACGUCGUCGAUCGCCGGUGAGAGAUUGCUCUUCAUGUCCGUGUUUCCGGUAAGAGGCUUCUUCUUGCUGUCAGCGAACGUGUACACGCUGUCUUGGUCGUAUCCGACGAUAUUCUUCAGAGGUUUGCCCGAGACGAACAGCUCUUCAGGAUACGACACAUGGUAGUAGGUGAGUCCCAAAUCACGAUAUAUCUUGU